rnacentral:rRNA from 1 species
GACGAACGCUGGCGGCGUGCUUAACACAUGCAAGUCGAACGAAGUGGCGAACGGGUGAGUAAAGCGUAAUCAACCUGCCCUUCAGCGGGGGACAACAGUUGGAAACGACUGCUAAUACCGCAUACUGAAGGAGGGGAUUGCGUCUGAUGAGCUAGGAGGAGGGGUAACGGCCCACCAAGGCGAUGAUCAGUAGCCGGUCGUAGAGGAUGAACGGCUACAUUGGUACGGAGACACGGCCCAGACUCAUACGGGAGGCAGCAGUGGGGAAUCUUCCGCAAUGGACGAAAGUCUGACGGAGCAACGCCGCGUGAGUGAUGACGGCCUUCGGGUUGUAAAGCGCUGUUAAUCGGGACGCGGUACCGGAAUAGAAAGCCACGGCUAACUCCGUGCCAGCAGCCGCGGUAAUUC